CAGGGGAUUGUGGGAGGCAGAGGGGAUUGUGGGAGUCACUGAAGACUGAGGGAGGCGCAGAGGGCCACUCGAUGCCACGCCCCCGGCACAGAGAAUUGUGGGAGGCACAGGGGAUCCUGGGAGGCAUGGGGGAUUGUGGGAGUUACACAGGGCUGAGCACCUGCUGAGGAAUGUGGCAGCCCUUCGAUGUCUACUUGCACUUCAAUAUGGACUAAUUGGUCAUAGUUGCGGCAGUGAAACAGAAAUGCGAAAAGACCAGGCAGCAAAUCUGCCCAUUGCUUUCUGAGCCACAGAACUGAGGGCCCAUGUGAGGACGUGCCAUGGAAGUACGUGGUGAGAGAGUGCUGGAGACAGCUUGACAUGCUCCCCGCAGCCGUGUGCACACAGAGGCUGGAUACCCC
rnacentral:lncRNA from 1 species